rnacentral:rRNA from 1 species
UACAGAGGGUGCAAGCGUUAAUCGGAAUUACUGGGCGUAAAGCGUGCGUAGACGGUUAUGUAAGUCAGAUGUGAAAGCCCCGGGCUCAACCUGGGAAUUGCAUUUGAGACUGCAUAGCUAGGGUGCGGAAGAGGGAAGCGGAAUUUCCGGUGUAGCGGUGAAAUGCGUAGAUAUCGGAAGGAACACCAGUGGCGAAGGCGGCUCACUGGCCCGGUACUGACGCUGAGGUGCGAAAGCGUGGGGAGCAAACAGG